rnacentral:rRNA from 1 species
UAGGGAAUCUUCGGCAAUGGACGAAAGUCUGACCGAGCAACGCCGCGUGAGUGAAGAAGGUUUUCGGAUCGUAAAACUCUGUUGUUAGAGAAGAACAAGGAUGAGAGUAGAAUGUUCAUCCCUUGACGGUAUCUAACCAGAAAGCCACGGCUAACUACGUGCCAGCAGCCGCGGUAAUACGUAGGUGGCAAGCGUUGUCCGGAUUUAUUGGGCGUAAAGCGAGCACAGGCGGUUUCUUAAGUCUGAUGUGAAAGCCCCCGGCUCAACCGGGGAGGGUCAUUGGAAACUGGGAUACUUGAGUGCAGAAGAGGAGAGUGGAAUUCCAUGUGUAGCGGUGAAAUGCGUAGAUAUAUGGAGGAACACCAGUGGCGAAGGCGGCUCUCUGGUCUGUAACUGACGCUGAGGCUCGAAAGCGUGGGGAGCAAACAGG